CGGCGAGGGGAGUGAAAAAGAACCUGAAACCGUGUACGUACAAGCAGUGGGAGCACGCUUAGGCGUGUGACUGCGUACCUUUUGUAUAAUGGGUCAGCGACUUAUAUUCUGUAGCAAGGUUAACCGAAUAGGGGAGCCGAAGGGAAACCGAGUCUUAACUGGGCGUUAAGUUGCAGGGUAUAGACCCGAAACCCGGUGAUCUAGCCAUGGGCAGGUUGAAGGUUGGGUAACACUAACUGGAGGACCGAACCGACUAAUGUUGAAAAAUUAGCGGAUGACUUGUGGCUGGGGGUGAAAGGCCAAUCAAACCGGGAGAUAGCUGGUUCUCCCCGAAAGCUAUUUAGGUAGCGCCUCGUGAAUUCAUCUCCGGGGGUAGAGCACUGUUUCGGCAAGGGGGUCAUCCCGACUUACCAACCCGAUGCAAACUGCGAAUACCGGAGAAUGUUAUCACGGGAGACACACGGCGGGUGCUAACGUCCGUCGUGAAGAGGGAAACAACCCAGACCGCCAGCUAAGGUCCCAAAGUCAUGGUUAAGUGGGAAACGAUGUGGGAAGGCCCAGACAGCCAGGAUGUUGGCUUAGAAGCAGCCAUCAUUUAAAGAAAGCGUAAUAGCUCACUGGUCGAGUCGGCCUGCGCGGAAGAUGUAACGGGGCUAAACCAUGCACCGAAGCUGCGGCAGCGACGCUGAUGCGUUGUUGGGUA
rnacentral:rRNA from 1 species